rnacentral:rRNA from 1 species
GAUGAACGCUGGCGGCGUGCCUAAUACAUGCAAGUCGAGCGAACAGACGAGGAGCUUGCUCCUCUGACGUUAGCGGCGGACGGGUGAGUAACACGUGGAUAACCUACCUAUAAGACUGGGAUAACUUCGGGAAACCGGAGCUAAUACCGGAUAAUAUAUUGAACCGCAUGGUUCAAUAGUGAAAGACGGUUUUGCUGUCACUUAUAGAUGGAUCCGCGCCUCAUUAGCUAGUUGGUAAGGUAACGGCUUACCAAGGCAACGAUGCGUAGCCGACCUGAGAGGGUGGUCGGCCACACUGGAACUGAGACACGGUCCAGAGUCCUACGGGAGGCAGCAGUAGGGAAGCUUGCGCAAUGGGCGAAAGCCUGACGGAGCAACGCCGCGUGAGUGAUGAAAGUCUUCGGAUCGUAAAACUCUGUUAUUAGGGAAGAACAAAUGUGUAAGUAACUAUGCACGUCUUGACGGUACCUAAUCAGAAAGCCACGGCUAACUACGUG